CACCAUUUGAAAAAAAAAUGGGUUACUGCUGUACUACAAGGGUCUUUUUUGUUUUUUGUUGUUGUGUGUGUGUGUGUGUUGCUGUUAAAAAAUUUUUACAGUAACACCAUCAACGAUAAGCACAAUUUUCUGUUUUUUGUUGUUGUUGUUUUGUUUUUCUCCCCAAAUCAGUUCUACAUUUUCAUUCUUCCACUUGUCACAAUGUAUAAAAUAAUCCACCAAACAGACAAACAUUAGCUGUGAAUCUCUGUAAGAAAUAGUGGAGAAAAAAAAAAGAAGUUAAAUCUAGUCUGAGACUGCAUGUGAAUGCUACCUACAGUAAAUGCAUCUUUUUAAGCGUCUCUUUUCGUGUUUUGUGUGAGGGGUAAAGCUUCCUAAACCAAGGUGUGAAUUAUUAUUUUUAUUUUUAUUUUUUUUUGCCAAAAACAGUGACAUUAACAGCUGAUGAUAUUUUGGCCAAAGCUGAGAUCUUAAACGUUCCCCGUGUCUCCUCCCGUGCCCCCCGAAUACCCGACGAGUAACGUGUCAAUGCAAUAAAUUAGAGCAGAUUGUGUUUUGUACCCAAACUCAACACAUUGGGUGUGGCCCUCAUUCUGGUCUUUCCCUCAGAUGUA